CUGCUGAAGCCGGACCAAUAAUAAAAAGAGAACAAAGAAUUGUCUCCGUUUUAUUGGACUAGAGCGGAAAUACAUUACAUUUAUGCCCCCACCCGUACCAAUGUCUUUAGGGUCUACAUUGUAGUUGGUGUUACACUUGCAUGGCUUUGUAUUAACUAGCUUAUAUAAAUAACGUUAGCAUAUUUUAGCUAGCUAUAAGACGGAGGAGGUAGCGCUGCUAUAACCAAAACGAGCAUUCUCCCCGGAAGUGGGUGGUGCAUGCAAAUAGUUUUAUGCUAACGUUAGUUAGUUAGCUAUAUGGUAGCAGCAACAGCUGGUUGCUAGUUGAUUUUCUUGCCAAGCAAAUUAAAAACUGGCCAUUACGAUACCGGUAAUGGUUCGAUAUGACAAACCGCAACAUUCUGGGUAACAUUAGCUAGCUAGGGAACGUUAAACACAAAACGUUUUGAAGGGCUUAGUUUUGGUGUUUCCUGUGCCCUAUGAUCUAAAUCAGAUUUGCUGUCUGGAUAUAGGGGCUGAAGGAGGAUGGCGGUGUGGAUCCAGGCCCAGCAGUUGCAGGGGGAUGCGCUGCACCAGAUGCAGUCUCUCUACGGACAGCACUUCCCCAUCGAGGUGCGUCACUACCUGGCCCAGUGGAUCGAGGGGCAGCUCUGGGAUUCUGUGGAGCUGGAGAACCCCCAGGAUGAGCUGAAGGCCAAGCGUCUGCUGGACAGCCUGGUGCAGGAGCUGCAGAGGAAGGCCGAGCACCAAGUGGGGGAGGACGGCUUCCUGCUCAAGAUCAAACUGGGACACUACGCCAGCCAGCUCAAGAGCACGUAUGACCGCUGUCCCCUUGAGCUGGUGCGCUGCAUCAAGCAUAUCCUUCACUCGGAGCAGAGGCUUGUGCAGGAGGCCAACAACGCCGUCGGGAGUGGCGGUGGGGGUGGGACCAUGGACAGCCUGUCCCAGAGGCACCAGCAGAUCAACCAGACGUUUGAGGAGCUGCGCGUGUCCACGCAGGAGACUGAGAACGAGCUGCGCAAGCUGCAGCACAACCAGGAGUAUUUCAUCAUCCAGUACCAGGAGAACCUGCGCAUCCAGGCCCAGUUGAGCAGUCUGUCAGCCGUGCCGGCAGAAGAGCGAACCCAGAGGGAGACCAGCCUGCAGGCCAAGAGAGCCACCGUGGAGGCUUGGCUCACCAGGGAGGCCAACACACUGCAGAAAUACAGACUGGACCUGGCGGAGAAGCACCAGAAGACUCUGGGCCAGCUGAGGAAGCAGCAGACGCUGAUCCUGGAUGAGGAGCUGAUCCAGUGGAAGAGACGUCAGCAGCUGGCCGGCAACGGGGGACCCACCGAGGGGGGACUGGAUGUCUUGCAGUCCUGGUGUGAAAAGCUAGCGGACCUGAUCUGGCAGAACCGGCAGCAGAUCCGGCGGGCCGAACACCUGACCCAGCAGCUACCUCUGCCUGGCCCAAUGGAGGAGCUGCUCACCAAGCUCAACUCUGACAUCACCGACAUCAUCUCCGCUCUCGUCACCAGUACGUUUAUCAUCGAGAAGCAGCCCCCCCAGGUGCUGAAGACCCAGACUAAGUUUGCGGCGACUGUGCGCCUACUGGUGGGCGGGAAGCUCAACGUGCACAUGAACCCCCCGCAGGUCAAGGCAGUCAUCGUCAGCGAGCAGCAGGCCAAGGCCCUUCUCAAGAAUGAGAGCACCCGCAAUGACAGCAGUGGAGAAAUUCUCAACAACAACUGUGUGAUGGAAUACCACCGAACCACAGGAACCCUGAGUGCUCACUUCAGGAACAUGUCCCUGAAGCGGAUCAAGCGGUCGGACCGUCGCGGGGCAGAGUCGGUCACAGAGGAGAAGUUCACUGUCAUGUUUGAGUCUCAGUUCAGCGUGGGGGGCAACGAGCUGGUCUUCCACGUCAAGACAUUAUCUCUCCCCGUCGUGGUGAUAGUUCACGGUAGUCAAGACAACAACGCCACGGCAACGGUCCUGUGGGACAAUGCUUUUGCAGAGCCGGGCAGGGUGCCAUUCGUCGUUCCUGACAAGGUGCUGUGGCCCCAGCUGUGUGAAGCCCUAGACAUGAAAUACAAGGCAGAGAUGCACAGUGCCCGCGGCCUCUGCGACGACAACCUGGUCUUCCUGGCCCAGAAGGCAUUCAGCAGCGCCAGCAUAAACCCAGAAGACUACCGCAGCAUGACCAUGUCCUGGGCCCAGUUCAACCGGGAGAGCUUGCCAGGGAGGAACUUCACUUUCUGGCAGUGGUUUGACGGAGUCAUGGAGCUCAUGAAGAAACACCUGAAGCCCCACUGGAAUGACGGGGCGAUCUUGGGCUUUGUGAAUAAACAGCAGGCCCAGGACAUGCUGAUGUCCAAGCCCAACGGGACCUUCCUGCUCCGCUUCAGUGACUCUGAGAUCGGGGGCAUCACCAUCGCCUGGGUGGCAGAGAACCCUAACAAAGCGGGGGAGAGGCUGGUGUGGAACCUCAUGCCGUACACCACCAAAGACUUCUCCAUCCGCUCACUAGCCGACCGCAUCAGUGACCUCAACCACCUUAUGUUCCUCUAUCCCGACCGGCCCAAGGACGAGGUGUUCUCCAAGUACUACACCCCUCCCCUCUCAAAAGCAGUGGAUGGCUACGUCAAACCACAGAUCAAGCAGGUUGUGCCAGAAUUCACUACUCCCAACCCUGAGCCGUCCAGUGGGAACCCCACCUAUAUGGACCAGGCACCCUCCCCGUCAGUGGCUCACCCCAUCAACUUUGCAAUUUUCCCUCCCAUGGACUGAUUUAGAUGUGGGACACCAGGUGGGUGCAAUUAAUUAUCAGGGAGAACAGAAAACCAUCAGGCUUCGGACCUCGUAGGAAGUGACCCCAUGAUGGACGCAGAUGGAGAGUUUGACCUGGAAGACACCAUGGAUGUGGCCCGACACGUGGAGGAGCUUCUGCGGCGGCCCAUGGCCAACCAGUGGGACGGCCAACAGUCCUGAACUUUCACCUUUGACCCCUGACCCUACACCCAACAAGAGCAAGCACCCAGAAAACAUCCAAUGGUUUUGGUCCCAUUGGUUUAUAUUUUUUUGUCAAUUCUCAAAGGUGAAAUGUAAUAUUUGACAGUUCUUGGAUUAUUUUCUGAUCUUCUUGACGUGGCAAUUGAUUAUUUAAAAGAAAUAACUAAUUGUACCUGAAGAAAAAGCACAGUUGAAAAGGUUUGUUUGGAAGUAAGUACUGAGAAAAAUGUAGAAAUGUGUGUUACUACAAUAUACAGCAAUAUUUUUACAAAAAUGUUUAGCUAUGCUGCUUAUGGCCAUCCUCUGAAAAUGUUUAAAGAGCAGGAAGGCCUGCACACUGUUUUUAUGCUCCCAAUUCACAGCUUUAUUGACAAGGUUUCGAUCCGAACCGGAUCUUUGUCAGGUCAAACAAAUGGAGUGCUCACAACCCGAAAAUGUACACGUUUCACCUCACAUGACCAUGACACAUGGUGGGUGUGGAAACAAUUCAAUUAACUUUUACUCACAGUUAAUCCGAGGUACAUGUGGUCCUAAAGGAUUAUAGACAUACAAAUAGGGCUGAGUUAACCUAGGCAACUUUUUUUUUUUUAAAGGCCUUAGAUCUAAUUACAGUGUUCCUUUUCAAAAACCAACUUGUGUACCUCUAAUAAUUUAGAUAUCAAUGAGAUGGGCACGUGUAGUAGUCUUCGAAAAUAUAAUAUGUACAAAAUGACCAACUGGAGACCUAGCCGUCAAGACAAAUCAACGUAACAUAUUUAUGUAAAAAAUAGUCUCAAAUUCUUCAUUCAUAGCUUUAGGAGACAGUACCCCCCCCCACCCCCCAAGUAGCCUUAACAUGUUCAAUACCCGUGUAUCUCAGAGAGCUGUUGUGACGAGCCUCUGUGAAACGUGCAGCCACAGUUUCUCUGAUCAAGAGUCCUGAUAUUUCUCUUGUGUUCUAUGUUUUCACAGCUCGUUUUGUUUUUCCUUCAUGGCAUAGACCACAAAUGCACUUGAUCAGGUAUACCAUUUUAGUUUUUUGUAUAACACGUGAUACACUUAAUCUUAAUGGCCUUGCCUGUGAUGGGUUGAUUGAACGUUGUGCAUUUGUUCUUAAAGUUACACUGGGUGCAUCGGCCACAUCUGUAAUUACUGUCCGGCACGUUAUCUAGGAAGGUGUUACGUGGCAUCGGUGGGAAGGGAUGGUUUGGGAGUGAGGCCAGGUCAUGUUUUUCUAACGGUCCCGUGCGUCAUACACCCAAUCCUCUGGUAACGGUAAGGGCAGGAAGCCUAGUGGUUAGAGCGUUGAGCCAGUAACCAAAAGGUUGCUAGAUUGAAUCUCCCCGCCGACAAGGUAAAAAUCUCUCGUUCUACCCCUGAGAAAGGCAGUUAACCCACUGUUCCCCGAGCUCCGAAGACCUGGAUGUUGAUUUAAGUGUGAUUUUUUUUUUUAAAUGCGGGAGACGCAUUUCAGUUGAAUGCAUUCAGUUGUACAACUAGGUAUCCCCUUUCCCUGUUUGGAGCGUUCGUCCAGACAGUGCAAUUGAUUGUACUUACAGAUCCUGCUUAUACAACUGUAUUGGGUGAUAGGGAGGCUCUUUUUCAGGGAAAGGUACUUUUACUCUUCAGGUUGGUAUCGUCAAAGAGGCGCUAUAGUCAAAGUACACCGCAUUUCUUUAAAUGCUCAGUGCUGUAUUUGUUUCUAAAGGUUUGGAAUGUAACUAUGAAAUGAUUUGAGUCUUGCGUCUGUCUCUGCACCGUUAAAUUCAAAAUCAACAUAACAAAAUUACCAUUCAGAAUGAAUUACGUUUGAAGUAGAUUCCACCGUUGAUUAUUGAAAUACGAUAGUACAGUAUUUUGACCCUUUGCAUCCUCAAAAUGGGGCCCUUGGUUUGAACCGCCAUGUGCUGUGUACAUUCUGCCUCACAUUACAUGCGUAAUACAUGUACAGUAUCUUCUGCCUUUGAAUGUCAAGUUUACUAGCCUUAAUUCAAACUCCUCUUGCUUCUUAUUACACUGAACUAGUUUCACUUAGUGUAUCAGUUUAUUUUUCUAAACAAAUGAACUAUUAACUAGUAACUUAACUAUUGAAUUGCUACUCAAAUUCAUCAGACUACAUUAUAAACUCAGCGAUAA